ACCACAUGCCUUCUGCCCGCUAGCUGCCUCUGGUGGCCUUGCACCCUCUCUGCUGCUCUCCCUCCUGGAGUUCUUCCUGCAGGGGAACCUAACCAAUGUGGGCCAAGCACUGUUGCCAAGUACUGUGAUCAGAUCUUCUCAACUGAUUCUCACAACUACCCUGUGAAGCAGAUGUUGAUAUCUCCAUUUUAUAGAUGUGAAAACAGACUUGGAAGGGGCAAGUGAUGCUGAACCUGGCCCAACACUGCUGGUAAGAAUCAGAGGUAGGAUUGAAUCAAGUCUUUUGACACCUAUUCCACUGCCCUUUCAACUAACCUUAGCUACCACUCAUAGCUAGUGUUCUGUGUGGAUACAAUGCCCUACAUGUAUCAAAAUAUCACAUGUACCCCCAUGUGUUAAUUUGUUAAUUCAUUCAACAAAUACUUAUGAGUAUGAAGAAGUGUCUAAGAGGGAGCACACACUGCAGUAAAACCCAGACACGGGAGGAAGCAUGGAGGACAGGGGGAAUAAGGAAUGACUGCAAAUGGGUAUGGAGUUUUUUAGGAUGUUGAAACUGUUCUAAAAGUAGAUUGUGGUGAUGGUUAUACAACUCUUGGAGUGUACUACAAAUGACUGGACUGUACACUUUAAAUGGAUGAUAUUUAUAAUAUGUAAAUUAUAUCUCAAUAAAGCUGCUAAAAAAGAAGAAAGAAAAUAAAAAUAAAUAUACCAAAAAAGGAUAUACUCUAUAAGAUUAGAAUAGAAAUAGGCAUAUGUCAUGAGUCUUUACAUCAAAAGAGAAUAUUGUACAGGAUUAUGAUAUUAUAGUUUGAUUUUGGUACAUGUCAUAAUAAAAUAAAUGAUUAUAAACAUAAGAACAAAACAAAUAAACAAAAAAGCCCAGGUACAGCCAGAUGCAAUGGCUCAUGCCUAGAAUCCCAACACUUGGGGAGGUAGGUGGAGGCAGGAGGAUCACUUGAGCCCAGGAGUUUGAGGCCAGCCUGGGCAACAUAGCAAGACGCUGUCUCUACAAAAUAAAAAAGUCAGCCAGGUGUGGUGAUGCAUGCCUGUAGUCCCAGCUACUCAGGAGGCUGGGUUGGGAGGAUCGCUUCAGCCAAGGAAGUCGAAGCUGCAGUGAGCCACGAUCACACCACUGCACUCCGGCCUGGGUAACAAAGUGAGACCCUGCCUCAAAAAAAAAAAAAAAAAAAAAAAGGGUGGGGGGAUUCUUAAUUCUUUCCUGCUUAACUCCCACAGGUGUUAUGUUAGGCUCAAAAUUAGGUUUGCUGCCCAGGUGUGGUGGCUUAUGCUGUAAUCCCAGCAUUUUGGGAACCUUAGGCAGAAGGAUCGCUUGAGGCCAGGAGUUCAAGACUAGCCCUGGCAACAUAGCGAGACCCAGACUCUACAAAAUAAAUAAAUAAAUAAAUAGGUUUUUUUUUUUUAAAUAGGUUUGCUAGGACACCUUUUUCCAUACCAAUAAGAUACAUUUAAUAAGAAAGCAUUGAGCACCCCUUAGUUCUGGUCUUGUACUAAGUGCUUUACAAAGAAAACAACUGUGAAGCAUGCUCAUGCUUCCUUUCCAAACUUUAAGUUCAUUUCUCUGUGAAUUGAGAAGCAGGGUCUGAAUGCAUAGAAAUAUAUACAAGUUUUGACAUAGAUGGGAACAGAAAAGAAUUCCCUCUUAAUUUGAAAAGUUCCCACUGAUCCAUGAUUCCAACAAAUCAAUGGUAUAAUUCAACAAUUGAGGUUAAAGUUAGUACCUUAUUCCUAUUUGAACUCAAAUGUAAAUGGUGCUAGAUUUGCUCAUUUCCUUGAGUAAAAGCUGUAAGAAUUAAGGCCUUUCAAUUUCUUUUCCAGUUUUACAGAAUUUGAUGAGUCUAAAGUAAGCCAUCCCAUAACAUCAGUAAACAUACCUUAAUUAAACUGGAAUUUUAACAUUAUAAUUUACUUUUAGAAAAAGAGGCAAAAGCCAAAUAAACUGAUAAUAGGAACUUACUUUAAAGAUGCUCUGGAAGUCCCAGACUUGUUCUUAGGGCAGUACAGAUUCUGCUCUGAUAACCUUCUACACUGACCACACAGGAUGAAGUGAAACAGUAUGAGAAGGAUGAGCCCGAGACACUGAAAGACCUGGAUGUGCUUUCCAAAUCAUUACAUAAGACAAACAUGAAACUUAAUAGAAUAUAUUAUACUUACUAAACGAUGCACAAAGAUUAUACUAAAACAUGUUUUCAAAGAAGUUGAAAACCAGGUUAUCUUCUCUUUGCACAAACUUAUUCUAUAUAUACAUAUCCAUUUCACCCAUUUCAGUUAAUCUAGGGUUACAACAUAUUAUGACUAAAGUCCAUUAAGCAGUCAGUGUCCUUCAAGGUUCGACAAAUUACUAGAUUGUUUCUGUGUAUAUUUUUAAGUUUAUAACUUGAUAAUUCAUUGAUUGAAGUUAUGGCCAUUUGUCUAUAUUAGGGCUUAUUAGGACAAACACUAUUUGCUGACUUUGGAAAUGCUUAUUUUUCCUGUGCUUACUCAUCUCUAAGGAAGAAAGACUAAACCAGAUGAAUAAAAACCCUCCCCAACAUUUCAAUAGGCUAAAAACCCUUAAUAUGACAUAAAUAAGGGUAAGGGUUUAAAGACGAUGAGUUCAAAUACUUAAGAGAAUUUGAAAGCUGUAUCCCCUUACAGUUGUUUUUGAAAGUACUUAGCACGUGAAAAUAACCAAUGCUUACUAAGCAAGAGGUGUUAUUUAACAUUUGUGUACCUUAUCUCUAGAGAUAUCCCAAUAUCCAAUUACAUGCACCCUGUCUUCCUGUACUCCACCCUCUAUUUUACAGUUGACAAAGUGGACACAGAGAUUAUGCAAUCUAACAUCACACUGCUAGUAAAUGCCAGAGCCAGGAUUACAAGGACUCUUAAACCUUGAUGUAGAUGUAAAUUGCCUGGGGCAUCUUGAUAAAAUGAAAUCGGAUUCUGUAGUGCUGGGGUGGGGGCUGAGAGUCUAUAUUCCUAACAUGUCAAUGUUCCUGAUCCACAGACCUUCCUUUGAGUAGUAAGAUUAUUACAAGAUUCAGUAAAGAAUGUCUAGAUGCUCCUCCAUCCUGUUUGUUUUAGAAUAUUGGCAUACAUAAUCUUAUUGUGCUUUGCUUUAUCGUGCUUGGAAAAAAUAGGUUUUUUUUAAUUGAAGGUUUGUGGCAACCCUGCACCAAGCAUGUCUAUCAGUGCCAUUUUUCCAACAGCACAUGCUCAAUUCAUGUCUGUGUGUCACAUUUUGCAAGACAUUGCAAUACUGAUGUGUCAAUAUUGCAAGACUUUCAAUUUUUUUCAUUAUUAUACUAAUAUGAUCUUUGAUGUUGCUAUUGCAAUCAUUUUGGGGCCACAAACUGCACCCAUAUAAGAUGGAAAACCUAAUCAAUGAAUGUUGUGUGCUCUGACUGCUCCACUGACCGGCUGUUCCACUGUGUCUCGCCCUCUUUGGGCUUCCCUAUUCCCUGAGACACAGCAAUACUGAAAUUAGGCCAAUUAAUAACCUUACAAUGCCCUCUAAGUAUUCAUCUGAAAGGAAGAGUCACAUAUUUUUCACUUUAAAUCAAAAGCUAGAAAUGAUUAAGCUUAGGGAGAAAGGUACGUCAAAAGCCUAGACAGGCUGAAAGCUAGAUUUCUUGCUCCAAACAGCUAAGUUGUGAAUGCAAAAAAAAAGUUAUUGAAGGAAAUUAAAAGUGCACUCCAGUGAGCACAAAAUGUGAUGAAAUGUGUCCCUAUCAGUAAACAGGGACAAAGUUUUAGUGGUCUGAAUAUAAGAUUAAACCAGCUAUAACAUUCCCUUAAGCCAAAGCUUAAUCUACAGCAAGACCCUAACUCUCUUCAAUUCUAUGAAGGCUGAGAGAAGUGAGAAAGCUGCAGAAGAAAAGUCUGAAACUUGCAGAGGUUGGUUCAUGAGGUUUAAGGAAAGAAGCCACCUCCACAACAUAAAAGUGCAAGGUGAAGCAGCAAGUAUUGAUGUAGAAGCUGCAGCAAGUUAUCCAGAAGAUCUAGCUAGCUGAUGAAGGUAGCUACACUAAACAACAGACUUUCAAAGUAGAGAAUAUAGACUUCUAUUGGAAGAAGAUGCCUCUAGGACUUUCAUAGCUAGAGAAAAGUUAAUACCUGGCUUCAAAGCUUCAAAGGAAAGUCUGACUCUCUUAUUAGGGGCUAAUGCAGUUGGUGACUAAGUUGAAGCCAAUGCUCAUUUGCCAUUCCAGAAAUUCUAUGGCCCUUAAGAAUUAGGCUAAAUCUACUCUACCUGUGCUCUAUAAAUGGAACAACAAAUCCCAGAUGACAGCCUGUUUACAGCAUGGUUUACUGAAUAUUAUUAUUAUUUUUUGAGACAAAGUCUCACUUUGUUGCCCAGGCUGAAGUACAGUGGUGCAAUCUCGGCUCACUGCAACCUCUGCCUCCCAGGUUCAAGCAAUUCUCCUGUCUCAGCCUCCAGAGUAGCUGGGACUACAGGCGUGUGACACCAUGCCUGGAUAAUUUUUGUAUUUUUAGUAGAGACAGGGUUUCACCAUGUUGGCUAGGCUGGUCUUGAACUCCAGAUCUCAUGAUCCACCUGCCCCAGCCUCCAAAAGUGCUGAGAUUACAGGUGUGAGCCACCGCGACUGGCUGGUUUACUGAAUAUUUUAAGCCAUUGUUGAGAUCUACCUCUUAGAAAAGAAGAGUUCUUUAAAAAUAUUACUGCUCAUUGGUAACGCACCUGGUCACCCAAAGUCUCUAAUGGAGAUUUACAAGAUGAAAUUUUCAUGCCUGUUACACACCAUCCAUUCUGCAGCCCAUGAAUCAAGGAGUGAAUUCAACUUUCAAGUCUUAUUACUUACCAAAUACAUUUUUUGUAAGGCAAUAGCUGCAACAGAUAGUAAUUCCUCUGAUGGAUCUGGACAAAGUCAAUUGAAAGCCUUCUGUGAAAGACUCACCAUUCUACAUGCCAUUGAGAACAUUUGUGAUUCAUGGGAGGAGGUCAACAUAUCAAUAUUAAUAGGAGUUUGGGAGUAGAUUCCAACCCUUAUGGAUGACUUUGAGGAGUUCAAGACUUCCAUGGAAAAAGUAACUGCAGAUGUAGUUGAAAUAGCAAGAGAACUUGAAUUAGAAGUGAAGCCUGAAGAUGUGACUGAAUUGCUGCAAUCUCGAGAGAAAACUUUAAUGCAUAAGGAGCUGCUUUUUACGGAUGAGCAAACAAAGUAGUUUCUUGAGAUGGAAUAUAUUGAAGAUGCUGUGAACAUUGCUGGAAUGACAAUAAGGACUUAGAAGAUUUCACAACCUUAGUUGGUAAAGCACUGGCAGGGUUUGAGGGGACUGAUUCCAAUUUUGAAAGAAGUUCUACUCUGAGUAAAAUGCUAAAGGACAGCAUUGCAUGCUAGAGAUAAAUCGUUUGUGAAAGGAACAGUCAACGGAUGUGGAAAAUUGCAUUGCUGUUUUAUUUUAAGAAAUUGCCACAGUCACUCCAACCUUUAGUAGCCACCACCUUGAGCAGUCAGCAGCCAUCAACAUCAAGGCAGGACCCUCUACCAGCAAAAAGAUUACGACUCGCUGAAGGCUCAGAUGAUCGUUAGCAUCUUUUCACAAUAAAGAAUUUUUAAAUUAAGGUAUGUACAUUGGCUUUUAAAAAACAUAAUACUAUUGCACACUUAAUAAGCUACAGUAUAGUGUAAACAUAACUUUUAUAUGCACUGGGAAAUUAAAAAAUUCUGGUGACUUGCUUUAUUGCAGUAUUCACUUUACUGUGGUUAUCUGAAAUGGAACACAGAAUAUUUAUAACCUAUUAGCCUGUAUGUGCACAUAUGGUGAUAGGGAUUCAAGAAACUAAGAGCUUCAGUUCAGUGUCCCAAGUUAUACCAUGGGAUUUUGUUUGAGGCAAAACUGUGAUCAUGUGUCAUUUGACUUACUCUGUGAAAUGACAUUUGCUAUAUCUGUAGUGAGGCAUUUUUUUCACUAUGUUGCAAUUUAUUUGCACUUAGCUGGAAUAUCUCUUUUAUAAUUUUGUUUCCAGCACCUAGCAGACAGCCCAAAAGUUUAUUGCAGAAAGCUAGCACCAAACUCUUAUUCUCUUCAUCCUGGGCCCACAGACUACAUUUCCUAGCCUCCUAAACUUACACUUAAGUGUAGCCAAGUGACUGAGUUCUACAUAAUGGCAUUUGAACAGAAGUGGUAUGUGCCACCUCCAGUUCUGACAUAUAAAAACUUUGUGGGCAGGUCCUCCAUGCUGUUUUCCCAUCUGCCAGCUUGAAGCAGAAAAGCACGAAUCCUUUGGGAGCCACAUGUUGAAGCUGGCAGGCCCCCAAUAUUGAAGAUACUUAGGUCUCUGAAUCAGGACUUGGAGAAGAGCUGCUUGCUCAUCAGGAACAUCUGUUUAGGCUUUAUGUGAAAAAUACAUUUCUACUGUGGUUAAACCAUUAUGCAUUUUCAGAUUGUUUGUUAUGGCAGCUAGCAUUACUUCGACAUAUAGAUCCUUAGUAAUGAUUUGCUGAAUGAGUAGAAGAAGUAUAGAUUUUCUCUGUAUUGUGAUCUUGCCCAUUUCAGGCAAGAACAAGCUAGAAUUUCCAUGCUAUCAAAUUAAUGUCAGAAAAAAUGAGCUCAUAGGUAAGAAUUCAGUUUCUCUUGUGAGAGCCUCCAUAAUUUUAUUAUGAAGCUUAUCUUGGCAUACUUUUGGCACUUGAUAGGGUAUCACUGCCCAAGUCUGUGCAGUUUUCUAGGUGGUGUAAGUUCAUCAUAUUCAGAUAAACAUUUUCUUAGUGUUACUUGGUUGCCCAAGAGGUGAUUCUAAAUGCUGCUUUCCUGUUUAACUUUGCUGAAAGGAGGAAUUUCUAUUUAAGGGAUGAGACAGUAAAUGAGCAUUUGUGUAAAAAAAAAAAAAUCCCAAAUGUUUAAAUUUAACAUUAAACCCACCUCAAAAUAUUUUCACAAUCCCACAAUGAUGAUUGCUAACCUCUGCUGCUAGUUCCUGAACUCUGGUCCUCCCCUGGAACUUGGCUAAGCAAAUGUCAUGUAAACAAAAAAUAAAUAAUGAAUUUUUUAAAAUCCCCCUUCUUUAGAGGACAUAAGUGGGAAUGUUAAAGUCUGACAGCUGUGCAAAUGUAGUUAUCAACCAAACAGCUCAAGCUAUCAGUGGCAAUGUCACCGACAGUACCUAGAAUCUACAUGAUUUGGCGUUAGUCCAAUCUGCUUUAACCUGCCUGAGCCUCCAUUUCUUCAUUUGUAAAAUAAGGGGUUUCAGUGAUUCUGAACUGUCUGAGAACCAGUAUCCCCUUUCAUAAUAAAUUUUAACACCUAAUUUACUUUUAGAAAUAAAAUUGAUAACAUAACCCCCAUUUCAAAAAACAUAUUUUAUAAUUUAUAUUAUUUCAAAAUGUAAAUACCAGACACAUCUAAACUAGAAAACAUAAAUAGUCAAAUGCUUUAUAAACCUACUAAUAAACAGUAAGUUUGGAUUUUAAAGAAGCAAAAGACUAGAGGCCAUCCCAUUCAAGUAGUAAAGGAAAAGUUAUAUAAAAAUGUCUUAUUUGUAUUCAAUAAGAGAAAGAGGACCAUAACUUUAACUGAACUAGGCUUAUAACUCAAGUCAAAUAACAUUGUUGAAAUGAAGAAAAUUAGGAAGACUGGGCUGUAUCUAUAAAUGUUAUGCCAGAGCACUUUUCUUUUUCUUUUUAUGUUUGGAGACAGAGUCUCGCUCUGUCACCCAGGCUGGAGUGCAGUGGCACGAUCUUGGCUACUGCAACCUCCGCCUCCCAGGUUCAAGCGAUUUUUCUGCCUCAGCCUCCUGAGUAGCUGGGACCACAGGCGUGCACCACCAUGCCCGACUAAUUUUUGUAGAGAUGGGGUUUCACCAUGUUGGCCAGGCUGGUCUCAAACUCCUGACCUCAGGUGAUCCACCCACCUCAGCCUCCCAAAAUGCUGAGAUUACAGGCAUGAGUCACUGUGCCCAGCCAAGCAAUUUUCUUAUGGUAUGAUAUGUUGAGGCAGUGAUGAAGUAUUACAGAAAACAUAUGUUCUAUCUUGAUAACCUGCACAUAUGGAGAGAAAUUCAUUCACUAAACUUGAAGACUCUAGAAAUGUAGAAAAGAAGCUGCAAUGGAAAAGAAUCAAUAAUUUCCACAACAUAGAUUAUUAUUAUUGUGUUGUUAUCUAGGAUGGGAUAAAGGGACAUAUUUUAAAAAUAAUCUUAAUUAACAAAAUUCAAUAACAGCCUCAUAUUUCAUGUCUCUACUACUUUAAUAAUUUGUGCAAAUUUAUGUUUUAGUAAGUAGAGAAAAUUUUUAAAUUUGAUAACUACCAUCUUCAUUAAUAAAUAAUUACUGGAGUAGUUUCUUUUGCAACUCUCUACUAGUAUUUCCUCCCAUUACCCAAACAGAGACGAAGCAAAACAAACAAAAAUCCAGCCUACAGUAUGUUUCUUCAUUUUUACAGAAUUGCAGAGUUUACCUUAGAAAACUAAGAAAAGAUAGAAGACUGACUAAAAACUAAAGUUUUGAAAGAUGUUUUACAUAUGAACAUUAGGAUGUUUGCACACUAUUUCACAAAACUGACAUGGAAUAAUACUGAUGGGGGGAAUGCUUUUUCUGCAAAAAAAGCUAUAUUGCAAUUCAGGGAGAAUCUCAUGUUAUUAGUUACUGAUCACAAAUAUGCAAGAGAAUAAUAAUGCUAAGUUGAGCCCAAUGGUCUGAAUAUUCCUUUACUGUAGCACAAUCUGGCAUGACUGCCUUUAAAUGAAAUCUGUAUUUCACAUCAAUUUGAAAUCAGCACAUCAUACAAUUUUUAAAAGGAAAUUUAGCUAUUUACCCCUCUACAGAAUCACUGAUUUGACAAUAAAUAUUUUUGAGAAAAUAUAAGAAAAUAAACUUUCUAAAUAAGCAAUUUACAUUGAUAUUCUAUAUUUAAAUUAUGUUUUAUAAAAGCAUGCGCUUUGGAGUCAGAUCUGGAUUUGAAUCCUGAUUCUACCACUCAAUAUGUAAUAUAUAUAAAGAGCUUAGCAGCGUUCAAGGCACACAGUAAAUCCUCAAAUGUUAGCUGUUAUUAUUUCUAAUCAAAGCAGUGGUGGCUGCUAUUUAUAAACACUACUAUGCAUGCUUUAUGUACAUUAUUGCAUUUGUUCCUCCUAAUUAUUCAAUUAAUAUUAUCCCUGUUGAAUACACAAAAACACUGAGGUUCAGAAAAAGUUGAGAAACAGGCCCAAGGUCUGAGUGUGUCAGAAGCCAAAGCGCCAAUGCUACUGACCACUAAAUUGUUGCUUCUUAAACUGGGGUCCAUGCAAAAUCCUUGUGGAGUAUAUAUGUGUUGGGUGUAGGAAAGUGCCCAUGAACUUACUAUGAGAAUUAUGCAUUAUUCAUGUUGAUGAAACAUUUUAAAAUAAUAUUCAUGCUCUGAAUUAUUUGGAUAAUUGUAUUAAAACCAAAUAUUGGCAGAACCAUCUCAGUGCUUAGGUUUGUAUUUGUAUUGACUUCCCUGUUAAGGCCCAGUUCUACAUUAGUGGUGGAAGGCUUAUGGAGAACAGAGGCUGUUUUAAUAGGGGAAUGAUGGAUUCAGGCUAGAUGAGGACCAAAUAACAUCACUAUGUGCUGAACAAAUUAAAGUAAUAGUCUGAAUAGGAGAAAACAGGGUGAAUUGGGUCAUCACAUAGUACAUGGCAGUACAUGCCUGUUGAACUGAAAAGAGCCUGUACUGUAGCACUCAGUACCAUAAUCACAUUACAAGUGACAAUUUCAUUUUGUCAAAACAUCACUAUUUAAUACUAUUUUAAAUUUUAUUAGUUUUAUAGUUUUGCUUGUGUUAACCCAUAAACUUGUUUUGGUUUUAUACUUGUGCAAGACAUAUAAACAUAAAGCAUUUAUACCUAGUUUUAUGUUUAUAUAUAUUUAGAUAACAUUAUAAUAAAUAUAAAUUAAGCAAAAACUGAGGAGCUAAGAGAUUUUUUUCCUUAUUAAAAAGUGAAGUACAUUAUUCAGUUUGAGAAAACUGGUCUACACGGUCGGUCCUGCUUGUGAAUGUCGUCUUCAGGAGGUAACUUCUAUUAUCACCAACCUCACAGGAUUUGUAAGAGCAUUAGAAGAGACGAUGAACGUUAGAGUGCCUGGACCACAGGAAGAAUUACAAUGACAGUUCUGUCUCCUUUCCUUGAAAGAGAAAAUCUGGAAGCUAAAUGCAGUCUAUACUCUUUUACUCUAACUAUGGUCUGGGGACCAGGAGAAUUGAUAACACCUAAGAGCUUGUUAGAAACUGAUAAUCCCAGAGGCCACCCCAGAACUAUUGAAUCUGAAUCUCCAUUUAAUAAUAUCCUCAGCUGAUUUGAUACAUGCACAUGAAAGUUUGGGAAACACUAGUCCAGGUCUCCACAGAGAAUGUUGACUAAAAUUCACUGAGUUUUUAACUACUCUUAAGGUUAACUUUGGUAAUUAGAGAAAGACCUCAUGUAAAUGGUCAAAAAAUAAUGUCCCAUCCUGGGGUUCAAUAUAAACACUAUUAUUUCACUAUUGAUUCUUCAUAGGCUAUAUUUGUAUAGAGUGAGACCCUCUUUAAAAGGGAUCUAACUUCUAAUUCAGAAUGAGCAAAAAAUAUUUUAAAAUACAAAGUUUUCAUAAAAGCUUUCUGAAUUUUCAGUAAGCAAAUUGUAAGAUCUGUCAAUUUAAGCAUUUUUAGGUUUCCUUCGCCCAAUACCAAUUAAAAUCAUUUAUAUAUGUUAAGCUCUUAAAUAUUUAGCUCACAAGAUCUGGUCUAACAAAGUCCUGUCUCAGUCUGUGAUGACUGUGUGCUUACGUUAACGAAACACAUUACAAAAAAAAAAGGUAUGACUGUGUAUAUAAAAUGUAUUAGCUUUACUGUCCAACAAAAGUAUCAGAUCACAUUCUGCAGUUGUGAUUUUGUUAGUGUAAUUCACCUACAGAAUACCUAUGCUUUUCUUCCUGAACUCAGUGGUCCUAUACAUUUAAGGCAUACUGUACUUGAAAAGAUUCAAAGAUGCUGUUCUUAAAAGUGUAAAAAAUAACUAAUAUACAAGAGAGUCACUAAUAUCUAAAAUGAUCUUGAUACCAUCUGUUUAAGGACUAGUUCAGUAAGACUCAAAGAUUGAACUAGGUUAUUUAUUGCUCUAUGUUCUCUACAUAUGGACCACAGAAGUCCGACUCAAAGAAUGUAAAACAAGGCAGAUUAUGCAUAUAUGUGUGUGUGCAUGCAUGUAUAUGUAUAUAUGGUUAGGCCUACCAGGCAAUCCUUAUCAUCUCUGGGUUUAUGAUAUGACCUAGAUUAUAGGUAUGUUAUGAACUGAAUGCUUAUGUUCUCCUCCUCGUCUGCAAAUUCAUAUGUUGAAGCCCUAACAUACAAAGUGAUGGCAUUUGGAGGUGGGGCCUCUGGGUGGUAAUCAUGUCAUGAGGGUGGAGCCCUCAUGAAUGAGAUUAGUGCCCUUAUAAGAAGAGACAGGAAAGUAACGAUGUCUCUCUCUCUCUGCCAAGUGAGAAUACAGCAAGAAGCCAGAAGAGGGCCCUCAUCAGGAAUUGCGCUGGAUGGCACUUUGAUCUUGGGGUUUCUCAGCCUCCAACUGUGAGAAAUAAAUGUGUUUUGUUACGCCACCCAGUUUACGGUAUUCACCCAAAAUGACUAAGAAAAUGGUUUGGGCCAGGUUCUUGAGGUAGCCAAGUUCCCCU
rnacentral:lncRNA from 1 species